rnacentral:sRNA from 1 species
UCAAAUUCACAACUCUGAGGUCCUCUGUUUAUCCACAGAAUAGGUACAACACAGUCAGGAGCAAUACAAAUUGCCCUACAGUACUCCAUCAGGGUGCUUCAACUUUCACUUGGAGGGUAGAGAAAUUAUUUCAGUCUGCAUACAUAUUCGAUCUUGGGCCUCU